UAUAUCUAAGUAUAAGAUGUAUAGGAAUUUUUGAUGUUUCAGGAGGUGGUUUAAUUCCAUUAGGUAUAA
rnacentral:tRNA from 1 species